rnacentral:rRNA from 1 species
CGGCACGCCUAAACAUGCAAGUCGAACGAAGUAGCAAUACUUAGUGGCAGACGGGUGAGUAACAUGUGGGUAUCUACCCUUUGGCCUGGAAUAACACGAGGAAACUUGUGCUAAUACCGGAUAAGUCUUUACGGAGAAAGCUUUAUGCACCAUUGGAUGAGCCUGCACUUGAUUAGUUUGUUGGUAGGGUAAUGGCCUACCAAGACUAUGAUCAAUAGCUGAUUUGAGAGGAUGAUCAGCCACAUUGGGACUGAGACACGGCCCAAACUCCUACGGGAGGCAGCAGUGGGGAAUCUUGCACAAUGGAGGAAACUCUGAUGCAGCGAUGCCGCGUGAGUGAAGAAGGCCCUUGGGUUGUAAAGCUCUUUCGUCGGGGAAGAAAAUGACUGUACCCGAAUAAGAAG